rnacentral:SRP_RNA from 1 species
GCCGGGGCAGUGGCACGUGCCUGUAGUCCCAGCUACUCGGGAGGCUGAGGCUGGAGGAUUGCUUGAGCCCAGGAGUUCCGGGCUGUAGUGCGCUAUGCCAAUCGUGUGUUUUCACUAAGUUUGGCAUCAAUAUGGUGACCUCCUGGUAGCAGGAGACCACCAGGUUGCCUAAGGAGGGGUGAACCCACCCAGGUCAGAAACGGAGCAGGUCAAAACUCCCGUGCUGAUCAAUGCUGAUCAAUAGUGGGAUUGCGCCUGUGAAUAGCCACUGCAUUCCAGCCUGGGCAACAUAGCGAGACUCCGUCUCA